rnacentral:lncRNA from 1 species
GCACUGGGUCUGUCCAGAAAGGGAGAACACCAGCUUGUUUGUCACCUUCCUACCCGCCCCGGUGACACCCCCAUAGAGCCGUGGGUGGCACAGGUCUGCUGAGUCCUUGGGGGGCCCCCAGGACUGUGGGGUUUGGAUUCCAGGUGAUGGGUGCUGGCCAAGGCCCUGAAAGACGUCCCUGGGAAAAGGGCUCAUGACUUUGCCUUGUUCCAGAGCCAGAGCUAAGAAGGAUCCCAGCCUGUUUUUACCAGCCCAGGGCUACCGGGAGUGCUGAGUGGAGGCAGCAUUUUCAGAACCGGAAUUGAUCAGUGAUGCCCUGGGUUGAUGAGUGAUGUCUGGCACAGGCACAGGCUGCAGGGCGGAGAGGCAUUCGUGUUCUCUGCCCCGGGGGCUUUGGUGCACCUGCCAGGAUCUUUCUGAGGCUGCAGCUUGGUGAGGUCUCUGAGACGCCGGCAUUGCCGGCGUGGUGGGGGAGCACAGGUGCUAUGAUCUUUCAGCUGAGGGCAAGGGCCCCAGCAGGACGCUAAAUCGCAUUGGCCGUCUGUGUGGUUCCUGGCAUAGCUGUGCUUCCAGACCCUCUGUGCGCACUCACCUCUACCCUGUUCUGUCGAAAAAUCUGUACCUUUGAAAGGUUUGUGGUUCGUUUCACUUCCCAGCGUCUUCAGAUGGACAUCGACGUUGGAGUCUGGGGCUCCAGACCAAAGCCGCACGGUCAAGAUAACCAGCAGUUUCCUCUACGACACAAAUACUGAGGUGCAAGAAGAAGCACAGGCUCUUCCGGGACCCCAGCCCAGAAAAGUGAAACAGUGUUGCCAGGCAGACCUGGGCUCCAGGGAAAGUGCCCUCGCUUCCAGACGUGCGCCAGCAGCACCGCA